GGCCUCCCAAACUGCUGGGAUUAUAGGUGCGAGCUACUGCACCUGGCCUGUUUCUUUAAUAAUUGAGUGUAGGUACGUUAACUCUUAUUUCAAGAGAGAAAAGGUGGGUGGAACAAAAUAUGUGUUAUGAAAAGGAGAUGCUCUGAUGGAUAUAUCCUCCCUUUGGGCAGUUGUGUGUGAAUCGCGCUGCUGCGAGCAUUUAUGGAUGUGUAUGUAUUUGAACACCUGUUUUCCAUUCUCCUGUGCAUGUACCUAGGACUGGGAUUGCUGGGUCCUGUGCUGACAUGUAACUCCUGUGUUUUACUUCUGGAAGUAUAGCCAGGCUUCUCCACGGUGGUAGUACCAUUAUACAUUCCUACCAGCACUGCACCAAGAUUCCAAUUCCCUUUAUUGCCAGACAGGGCCUCACUGUGUGUCCCAGGCUGGAGGGCCGUGGUGCGAUCAUAGCUCACUGCAGCCCUGAACUCUGGAACUCAAGCCAUCCUCCCACCUUGGCCUCCCAAGUUGCCGGGUCUACAGGCAUGAGUCACCGUGCCUGGCCUUGUAUACCAUUUGGUGGUGAAUUUUGUUAUAUUUCCCAUUAUUUAAAAGACAUUUUUAAAGGGGAGGGGGAGCCGUGGGGCAUCACAGGAAUGAGAGCCACUGGGGCAGAAACAGGGAGCUUCUUGAGAGCGAGUUUAGGAGCCAACUGCCUGGCACCCAGCCUUCUCACUACCUGCCUGCCCACGGGCAGGUCAUAAUUACUCUCUGCUUUGGCUGCUUUAACUGGAAGAAGGGAGUAAUCAUUGUAGUUGCCAUAUGGGAUAUUUACAAAGAUUAGUUAAUCCACCUAAAAAGCCUGGCAUACAGUAAAUGCUUAAUACAUGUUGGCAGGCCCUGGGGAGCCCUAUAGGAAUAAAGCCUCGGGUACUCACGUUUCACAGGGGCCCUGGCAAAAUGCAAUGCCAGAGGUCUGGAGGGGGUCCCGGUGAGGAAAUGACCAGCUCCAGCCAUACAGAAAGAAAACGGCAGGAUCAGAAUGAAGACCUUAUGGCCUGGCGCGGUGGCUCACGCCUGUAAUCCCAGCGCUUUUGGAGGCUGAGACAGGUGGGUCACCUGUAGUCAGGAGGUCGAGACCAGCCCGGCCAACAUGGGGAAACCCAUGUCUCUACUAAAAACGCAAAUAUUAGCCAGACGUGGUGGCAGGCGCCUGUAAUCCCAGCUACUCGGGAGGCCGAGGCAGGAGAAUUUCUUGAACCCUGGCGGGCAGAGGUUGCAGUGAGCUGAGAUCGCAUCACUUCACUCUAGCCUGGGUGAAAGAGCGAAACUCCAUCUCAAAAAAAAAAAAGGAAAAAAAAAUAGAAUUAAGAUCUUAUGAAAUGUCUCCACAGCUACAAAAAUGUGUCAACUUCACCAAUUGCUAAAUUUUGUAUUCAUAAAGAUUUCAUUACAUUUCAAAACAGCUCCUAGGUUAGAUUUUCUCAUUCCCAAGGAACUCCCAAGCCUCUACGAUGAUUGCCAAUCUCAAAUUGCAUGCAUGACUCCUAGUCGCAUAAUUUCAAAGGCAAAGUCAGAACAGGGCCUUUUGAUUCCGAAAGAAAAAAAUAAAAAA
ensembl:lncRNA